UACGGGGGGAGCAAGCGUUGUUCGGAUUUACUGGGCGUAAAGGGCGCGUAGGCGGUCAGCACAAGUCAAUUGUGAAAUCUCCGAGCUUAACUCGGAAAGGUCAACUGAAACUGUGCGACUAGAGUGCGGAAGGGGCAACUGGAAUUCUUGGUGUAGCGGUGAAAUGCGUAGAUAUCUGGAGGAAUACCGGUGGCGAAGGCGGCAUCCUGGACCGGCAUUGACGCUGAUGAGCGAAAGCUAGGGGAGCAAACGGG
rnacentral:rRNA from 1 species